rnacentral:rRNA from 1 species
CACGUAGGGGCCAAGCGUUGUCCGGAUUCAUUGGGCGUAAAGAGCUCGUAGGCGGCUCGGUAAGUCGGGUGUGAAAACCCCAGGCUCAACCUGGGGACGCCACCCGAUACUGUCGUGGCUAGAGUCCGGUAGGGGAGCGGGGAAUUCCUGGUGUAGCGGUGAAAUGCGCAGAUAUCAGGAGGAACACCGGCGGCGAAGGCGCCGCUCUGGGCCGGUACUGACGCUGAGGAGCGAAAGCGUGGGUAGCAAACAGG